CACUCCUGCGGGAGGCAGCAGUGGGGAAUAUUGGACAAUGGGCGCAAGCCUGAUCCAGCCAUGCCGCGUGAGUGAUGAAGGCCCUAGGGUUGUAAAGCUCUUUCACCGGUGAAGAUAAUGACGGUAACCGGAGAAGAAGCCCCGGCUAACUUCGUGCCAGCAGCCGCGGUAAUACGAAGGGGGCUUGCGUUGUUCGGAUUUACUGGGCGUAAAGCGCACGUAGGCGGACUAUUAAGUCAGGGGUGAAAUCCCGGGGCUCAACCCCGGAACUGCCUUUGAUACUGGUAGUCUUGAGUUCGAGAGAGGUGAGUGGAAUUCCGAGUGUAGAGGUGAAAUUCGUAGAUAUUCGGAGGAACACCAGUGGCGAAGGCGGCUCACUGGCUCGAUACUGACGCUGAGGUGCGAAAGCGUGGGGAGCAAACAGGAUUAGAUACCCCUGUAGUCCCAUGAU
rnacentral:rRNA from 1 species